AACGCACAUUGCGCCCGCUAGUACUCUAGCGGGCAUACCUGUUCGAGCGUCAUUUCAACCCUCAAGCACUGCUUGGUGUUGGGGCCCUACAGCACUGCUGCAGGCCCUUAAAGAUAGUGGCAGGCUCGCUAUAACUCCGAGCGUAGUAGUGUAUCUCGCUGAGGAUGUUUUAGCAGGUUCCGGCCGUUAAACCCCCUUACUUUUUAAAUGGUUGACCUCGGAUCAGGUAGGAAUACCCGCUGAACUUAA
rnacentral:misc_RNA from 1 species